rnacentral:rRNA from 1 species
CAGUCGCCGCGGGAAUACGAAGGGUGCAAGCGUUACUCGGAAUUACUGGGCGUAAAGCGUGCGUAGGUGGUGGUUUAAGUCCGUUGUGAAAGCCCUGGGCUCAACCUGGGAAUUGCAGUGGAUACUGGGUCACUAGAGUGUGGUAGAGGAUAGUGGAAUUUCCGGUGUAGCAGUGAAAUGCGUAGAGAUCGGAAGGAACAUCUGUGGCGAAGGCGACUAUCUGGGCCAACACUGACACUGAGGCACGAAAGCGUGGGGAGCAAACAGGAUUAGAUACCCCGGUAGUCCCUGUUUCUUAUAC